rnacentral:misc_RNA from 1 species
GAUGAAGAACGCAGCGAAAUGCGAUACGUAAUGUGAAUUGCAAAUUCAGUGAAUCAUCGAGUCUUUGAACGCACAUUGCGCCCCCUGGUAUUCCGGGGGGCAUGCCUGUCCGAGCGUCAUUGCUGCCCUCAAGCACGGCUUGUGUGUUGGGCCCCGUCCUCCGAUCCCGGGGGACGGGCCCGAAAGGCAGCGGCGGCACCGCGUCCGGUCCUCGAGCGUAUGGGGCUUUGUCACCCGCUCUGUAGGCCCGGCCGGCUCUUGCCGAUCAACCCAAAUUUUUUAUCCAGGUUGACCUCGGAUCAGGUAGGGAUACCCGCUGAACUUAAGCAUAUCAAUAAGCGGAGGA